rnacentral:sRNA from 1 species
UUUAUUGCCUUACGUCAUCCCCCUGUCGGGCGUCCUCACAAAUUACCUGCAUUCAGAGAUGCGUAUCGGCACAGGCCGGUAUGCGAAANUCCCAUCAUGGGGCCUUAGCUCAGCUGGGAGAGCACCUGCUUUGCAAGCAGGGGGUCGUCGGUUCGAUCCCGACAGGCUCCACCAUUUGAAGUGAAACGACUUUGGGUCUGUAGCUCAGGUGGUUAGAGCGCACCCCUGAUAAGGGUGAGGUCGGUGGUUCGAGUCCUCCCAGACCCACCACUCUGAAUGUAGUGCACACUUAGGAACUUAUAUGGAUCAGCGUUGAGGCUGAGACAUGUUCUUUUAUAACUUGUGACGUAGCGAGCGUUUGAGAUAUCUAUCUAAACGUGUCGUUGAGGCUAAGGCGGGGACUUCGAGUCCCUAAAUAGAUUGAGUCGUAUGUUCGCGUUGGUGGCUUUGUACCCCACACAACACGGCAUGUGACCCUGAGGCAACUUGGGGUUAUAUGGUCAAGCGAAUAAGCGCACACGGUGGAUGCCUAGGCGGUCAGAGGCGAUGAAGGACGUGGUAGCCUGCGAAAAGUGUCGGGGAGUUGGCAACAAGCUUUGAUCCGGCAAUAUCCGAAUGGGGAAACCCACUGCUUCGGCAGUAUCCUGCAGUGAAUUCAUAGCUGCUGGAAGCGAACCCGGUGAACUGAAAUAUCUAAGUAACCGGAGGAAAAGAAAUCAACCGAGAUUCCCUAAGUAGUGACGAGCGAACGGGGAGCAGCCCUUAAGCUGGAAUGGCUUUAGAAAAACAAUCUGGAAAGAUUGGCCAUAGAAGGUGAUAGCCCUGUAUUUAAAAGGGCCACUCCAGUGAAGACGAGUAGGGCGGGGCACGUGAAACCCUGUCUGAAUAUGGGGGGACCAUCCUCCAAGGCUAAAUACUCCUGACCGACCGAUAGUAACCAUGGCUUUAAAA